UACGUAGGCAGCGAGCGUUGUUCGGAAUUACUGGGCGUAAAGAGUGUGUAGGCGGUGCUCCCAGUCUGUUGUGAAAUCUCCCGGCUUAACUGGGAGGGUGCAGCGGAAACUAGAGUGCUAGAGGGUGGGAGAGGUAAGCGGAAUUCCUGGUGUAGCGGUGAAAUGCGUAGAUAUCGGGAGGAACACCAGAGGCGAAGGCGGCGAACUGGACAGCAACUGACACUCAACUGCGAAAGCGUGGGGAGCAAACAGG
rnacentral:rRNA from 1 species